GCGGAGGGGUUCCACACGUACCCAUCCCGAACACGACCGUUAAGCCCUCUAGCGCCGAUGGUACUUGGACCGCAGGGUCCUGGGAGAGUAGGAC
rnacentral:rRNA from 1 species